rnacentral:rRNA from 1 species
CAAGUCGAACGGCAGCACAGGAGAGCUUGCUCUCUGGGUGGCGAGUGGCGGACGGGUGAGGAAUAUAUCGGAAUCUACCCUUUCGUGGGGGAUAACGUAGGGAAACUUACGCUAAUACCGCAUACGAACUGAGGUUGAAAGCGGCGGACCGCAAGGCGUCGCGCGGAUGGAUGAGCCGAUAUCCGAUUAGCUAGUUGGCGGGGUAAAGGCCCACCAAGGCGACGAUCGGUAGCUGGUCUGAGAGGAUGAUCAGCCACACUGGAACUGAGACACGGUCCAGACUCCUACGGGAGGCAGCAGUGGGGAAUAUUGGACAAUGGGCGCAAGCCUGAUCCAGCCAUGCCGCGUGUGUGAAGAAGGCCUUCGGGUUGUAAAGCACUUUUGUUGGGAAAGAAAAGCGGUCGGUUAAUACCCGGUCGUUCUGACGGUACCCAAAGAAUAAGCACCGGCUAACUUCGUGCCAGCAGCCGCGGUAAUACGAAGGGUGCAAGCGUUACUCGGAAUUACUGGGCGUAAAGCGUGCGUAGGUGGUUUGUUAAGUCAGAUGUGAAAGCCCCGGGCUCAACCUGGGAAUUGCAUUUGAUACUGGCAGACUAGAGUGCGGUAGAGGAGAGUGGAAUUCCCGGUGUAGCAGUGAAAUGCGUAGAGAUCGGGAGGAACAUCAGUUGCGAAGGCGGCUCUCUGGACCAGCACUGACACUGAGGCACGAAAGCGUGGGGGAGCAAACAGGAUUAGAUACCCUGGUAGUCCACGCCCUAAACGAUGCGAACUGGACGUUGGGAUCAAUUGAGAUUUCAGUGUCGAAGCUAACGCGUUAAGUUCGCCGCCUGGGGAGUACGGUCGCAAGACUGAAACUCAAAGGAAUUGACGG